rnacentral:rRNA from 1 species
GACGGUACCUACAAAAGAAGCACCGGCUAACUAUGUGCCAGCAGCCGCGGUAAUACAUAGGGUGCAAGCGUUGUCCGGAAUUAUUGGGCGUAAAGAGCUCGUAGGUCGUUUGUUACGUCGGAUGUGAAAACCUGAGGCUCAACCUCAGGCCUGCAUUCGAUACGGGCAAACUAGAGUUUGGUAGGGGAGACUGGAAUUCCUGGUGUAGCGGUGGAAUGCGCAGAUAUCAGGAGGAACACCAAUGGCGAAGGCAGGUCUCUGGGCCAAUACUGACACUGAGGAGCGAAAGUCUGGGGAGCGAACAGGAUUAGAUACCCUGGUAGUCCAGACCGUAAACGGUGGGCACUAGUUGUGGGAACCUUCCACGGUUUCUGCGACGCAGCUAACGCAUUAAGUGCCCCGCCUGGGGAGUACGAUCGCAAGAUUAAAACUC